CCGGCUAGCAAAAGAGGAAGGAUGCAGGUGGACCAAGGUCGACCUUAGCCAUAAGAUUAACAACCGGCAGCAGGGAAGCGCUUCAUACUAAAAUAGGUGCGAUUAGAACAAACACGUAAUACACACAUAAUUUCUGCCCUGCUAAUUAAGCUGUAUACAAGCAUAUCUGUGGAACUAACGGAAGCUUCUGCCUUUUCCGGAAAAUGUGUUGUCAGAAUAUGUGAUUUAUGAUAGAAGGGGGAGGGAGAUUCAAGUGGGAGACGAGCACUAUCAUUUUUAAAAAAUAAGGAAGGAAGGGGCUGAUAAAUAAUGGUGUCCGAGAAUUGGGAAAUAAUGGUGUCUGAAAAAUGAGAAACAAUGAUGUGUGGGAAAAGAGUAAAGUAAAAUGAUGUAAGCAUGAGGGACAGUCCAAGCUUGAGCUCCACAACAGGAGGAGCUAAGACAGGAUAAAAGGGAGUGUUCGGCCUCAGGGGAGUAUGUCUUGUAUGUCCCCUAUUUCUUGUGUGUCUUGUGUGUCCUGUCUGUGUGUGUGUGUGUGCGUCUUACGUGUUUUCUGUGAAGUGUCUUGUGGAAUGCUUUGAGACAGUUUGUAUUGAUAUGUGCAGAUCAGCCCGGGUUCUUGCAUGUUAUCUUGGAAUUACCUGCAAUAAAUCCAGUUGCAUCAGACUCUGUGAAGUGUAUAUUUUGAAGAAGUAUUCAACAGUGUGAGGAGAACACCCAGCUCUUCUGGCCCAGGCUGGGUCCUGUUUUUCCCCACAUUGAAUUGGCGAGCCAGCCAGGAGAGGCUCAAGGAAGCUGAAUGCCUGGACGGAACUGCUGACUCUUGGGUUCAACGGUGGCCACCAAACAAAGAGAUACGGGCCCAAGAAGACGGAGAAGCAGACGACCUCGAGCAACUAUAAACAGAUUACAAGGGUGCAGCAGCACAAGCCAAGGUCAGCUGGGGUGGCCUACAUUAAGAAUUAAACCAAAAAGCCCCUUUGAAAUAAGUUACUGACUUUUUCAAAUUACUUUUCCGGCUCUUUAUUUUAUACAGACUAUGUUGAAGUAAAACACCUUUUUAGGGAUGACACUGAUGGUGACAGUGACGAGAGUAACAAUUUGAGUGGACAAAACGGUCAAUUGUGGAUUGCUCACAAAGAAAGAGUAAACGGAUUUGAUGCGUUUGGAUUAUCAAAACACGGUGGUUACAUUUAAGAGCAGAUAAACUUAUAUUAAGAGCAAAUAGUUUAUUAUUUCCAGUUUAAAUGAUGCCUGCAGGUUCAAAUAAAUCGGCUCAAUUUCACCCGGUUCUGCUACUGACAUGGGGGGAUUGUCAUACUUUCCUUUGUAGGAGGUCUUGGCUGACUAGCCUCGACUGUAGACCCCUUCAUGGCAUUAACGGAACCCAAGACAGAGGAGAUUGAACGACAAUAAUCAAAGACGUACACGAAGCUACCGAUUUAAUCACUAUCACCAGAUAAAAAUAUAAAUAUAUAUAUAUAUAUAUAUAUAUAAAUAAAAAUAUGCAGAGGAUUUAAACAUUUCUGAUUGCUGGGUGUGAAUUCAUCAACCAUGCAGCAGGUCUUAGCUCUGCAUAUGCUUGCUAGGAAAAUGGUGGAAUUCCAGAUAGGUGUUUGAAAUAGUUUGUACUAUUUCUUUUAAACUACAGAAAAGAUUUGACAUUUCAGCCAUAACAAUAGUUCAUAGUGUCUCAGUGACUGAAAUACUGCCUCAUUAUUUCGUGUUAUGUUCUGCCGUGUUUCUACUCAUUGGACCAAGGUCAGGGUCAGUGUAUCUGAGUGACUUCAGUGUUAUUUGUAGCUGUUUUAUAAAAAGACAAGGCUGAACCAUUAGAAGUAGUGGAUAUUUAUCAAACUCCUUCUUGGAAUUGGGAGAAUCUAAGGGGUGGUCAUGGUGGGGCUGGUUUAACAUGUCAACAUGGAAAAUGGCUCUGGUAAAAUAAGGGUGAUCAUAGGCAUAGUAUUGUUGGUGUUGUUAUUUGCCUGUUGUGUAAUUCCACUAAUUCAGUCCCUGGUCAAAAGGUUGGUAACUUCAGUCACUGGGCAAUUUCCGGUGACAACUGGACAUUACCAAUGCAGAUAAGUGGAGUAUGGCUAAUCAAUAAUGACCCCUCCGUCGUUGGGUGUGGUAAAUUGACCCCAAGAAAAGGAAAUUAACCAUUACAUGAGACGCACAACGGUGCAAGGGGGGUGGGGUGUUUUGCUGUAACUGUCAUUCAAACAGGACCUAAGGAGUAUCGCAAUCAAUAUGGAAACCCUCUUUGCGAAUGGGGUGUGAGAGGAGGUGCUGGCUGGGAAUGCUGGAACGUCCAUCCACAAGCCGCCCGCCUGGUGAAUGAUCCUGGGUUCUGGGAGGCUUACGCUAGAUGCACCUGUGGAGAACCUUCUGUGUGUAGCAAAGACCGCCAGCGCUGCGAGGAAAAGAGCGACCAGAGUCACUGUGCAUCGAAUGUUUUAGUAACCUCCGCACAGUGAUAACCCUCUGCGGUGCGUAAAGUACCUGGGCUGAAGAAACAUACACCGACUGCACAACUCGCGUGACGAUAAAGAGGAUCGAGAGCAGCAAGAGUAUCUGAGUGAUGUGCUAGCAACCUCUCCUCAGCAUACAAAGAGCCAGGCUACGACUCGCAAAGAGCCAAACUGGACGGAAGUAGAUGACGGCGCCGAAAACGAAAAUAUGAGUGAAGCAAAAGUAGAGGCUACAAUUAAGAAACCCACAUAACCAAGUAGAAUUGACUGAUUGAUUUAAUAAAUAACUAACCAGAAUUAUGAUGUUAGAACUCCAUCUAACCAUCUCAUGUAACUGUAUAAACUUGUGCACCUGUAACCCGUGGCUGAUCCAAUUAUUAAUGUACUCAGGCUUAAGCACGCAGUAUGUAUGCAUGAAAUUGUAUUAGUUUUCCGGAAAAUGUGUUGUCAGAAUAUGUGAUUUAUGAUAGAAGGGGGAGGGAGAUUCAAGUGGGAGACGAGCACUAUCAUUUUUAAACAAUAAGGAUGGAAGGGGCUGAUAAAUAAUCGUGUCCGAGAAUUGAGAAAUAAUGGUGUCUGAAAAAUGAGAAACAAUGAUGUGUGGAAAAAGAGUAAAGUAAAAUGAUGUAAGCAUGAGGGACAGUCCAAGCUUGAGCUCCACAACAGGAGGAGCUAAGAUAGGAUAAAAGGGAGUAUGUCUUGUAUGUCUUGUAUGUCUCGUGUGUCUUGUGUGUCCUGUCUGUGUGUGUGUGUGUGCCUUGUCUGUGUGUGUGUGUGUGUGUGCGUCUUACGUGUUUUCUGUGAAGUGUCUUGUGGAAUGCUUUGAGACAGUUUGUAUUGAUAUGUGCAGAUCAGCCUGGGUUCUUGCAUGUUAUCUUGGAAUUACCUGCAAUAAAUCCAGUUGCAUCAGA